UUCCAUGAAAUAAUGUGGAUUGACUGUUAUUUGGUUGGUUGGAAAGUGCAUGAUAGACCGUUAUUUCAGCUACAUGAUCUGCCUAACAACCUUGAUAACUUUGUCUAUUUAUAGACCAAUGAAAUGCACCACCCAAAUUUAGAAAUCUUUGCUUUGAAACAUCAAAAUCUCCUUCCUCAGACAUAAAAUCUCACAAACAAAAAAAGGUCAUGAUCUCGGUUCGGUUCAUCCCUCCAAGGUCAUGAUCUUUCAUCUCACCAACCUGUAGGCACUUGAUUUCAUUUCAUUUUAGACCCAUUUCAAUUUCAACAAAAUAGAUUAAGAAAAAAAGAAAGAAAGAUAAGAUAAACAUUAUUGUCAGUAUUAUUUCAUUUCUGUGUGUUUGGAUCCAAUGGCGAAGCGGUCAUUUACACGUUUUGUCGAACAAGAGCUGGGAAAAUUCCCACACUUCCUGGUCUGUGCUGUGCUCGAAUGGGUGUUAAUAGUUCUGCUAUUCAUUUAUGGAUUUCUUGUAUUUGUUGCAAAUGAAUUCGCCAAGCACUUUGAAUUGCCAAUGCCUUGCUUGCUUUGCACGAGAAUUGAUCAUCUGCUUGUGAAUAGAAAACCUGAUUCAUACUACAAUGAUUCAAUAUGUGAAGGUCACAAGAAGGAGCUUUCAUAUUUGGCAUAUUGCCACGACCACAACAGACUGUCUGAUAUAAGAAAGAUGUGUGAAGGGUGCCUUUUUUCAUUUGCAACUGGGCAGCAAUCUGAUCGCGAUACAUAUAAGUCUCUAGUUGGGAUUUUGCAUAAGGAUCUUGAGGGCUUUGUUGAGGAUAUUAACCCAAUUCAUCUCAAUUUGCCUGCAGUAAAGGAGGAUGAUACUUUGGAGGUUGAGAAGAAUAGCAUUAAUCGUUGCUCUUGUUGUGGUGAGCCAUUGAAGGAGAAAUCAUCGUAUUCAAAAGGAAAAGGUGCUGGUGCAUAUUCACAAGCUCCUGCUCCUUCACCUCGAGCAUCGUUUGUGACAUUGAGAAAUGAGGAAUCUCGCAAUUUGGAUUUGCCUCACAUCCGAUACAAAGAACUCAAAUUUAUGUCUGGCAAUGACUCAGCUUCGGAGGAUGAGGAUGGCCUUAGUGCAACUAAUUCCGAUAUUCUAUUUCCAGUUAGGGAAGAUGUCAAAGCUGCUACGGUGCCAUUAUUGACAGAAACUGUGGAUUUGAAUGAUGAUGCCUCAAAGACUCCUAACUUUGAUAGAGGGAACAAGUUUUUUGGGAUCUCGCUAACAGAUUCACCUAUUAAUAGUCCUAGGUGGGCUCCUAAGAUUACAAGAAAAUCAUCACUUUCAAAAUUAGCAUUUGCUUCGGAGUCUGUUGAGGGGAAACUGCCAAAUGAAGCUGAAAGUGAUUCCAUUUUGCAUUAUUUGACGAAACAGGUUCACUUGGAUCGCAAGUCACUGGUGGCUUUGUACAUGGAACUGGAUGAAGAAAGAAAUGCUUCAGCUGUUGCAGCUAACAAUGCAAUGGCCAUGAUUACCCGGUUACAAGCAGAAAAGGCAGCUGUUCAGAUGGAAGCCUUGCAGUAUCAGAGAAUGAUGGAGGAGCAGGCAGAGUAUGAAGAAGAAGCCCUAGGAUUAACAAAUGAGUUGCUUACCAAGAGAGAGGAAGAGAUCAAGAUUUUAGAGGCUGAACUUGAGGCAUAUAGACAAAAAUAUGGAUGUUUAAGUGAAGAUGAUUUCAGGCGAUGUGAAAUUGAGGCUGCUGAGGAUUACCGAGAGGAUACAUCUUACUCACCUGAUGGUGCAAAAUCUGAAAGUGACAGCUUUAAUGUUGGUGUCAAUGAAGGGGAUAUUAAUGGAGAAAAUAGGCACAAUAAUUAUCUAGCCUUGUCAACUCAGGAGGCAAAUGGAGAGGGUACCCUAAGUGCAGUAUUGAAAGAUUUUAAAGCGGAGAGAACCAAUUCUCUGGGACGGUUAAAAAAACCAGACAGGAUAAAGCACUUGUCAUCAGAAAGAAUUCAUUUGUCACAGUCUGGCAGUGAUGGAAUUGAGCAUACAAAUGAUAAGACAGGAAAGCAAAGGAAAUCUAUCCUAACAAGAGAAUUAUCUCUUCUUAGUAACAGGGUGAGGGCCCUUAAAGCAGAUGGUGGAUUCAUAGAGAAUGCUGCUCAGAAACUUGGAAAAGAGAGUGAAGGAACAAAACUUUUGACAGAGAUUUAUCAAAAUCUGCGGAAGCUUCGUCAGAUUGUGAUAAUGCCCCCUGAGGAGAAUGAUGCAUGAUUGUCAUCGUAAUCUUUUUUAUGUUUCCUUUUUUCUUAGGAUGUAUAUACUUUCCUUGCAUGCUGGAAAGGUAUUUUUAUUUUAGCUUUGAGGCCUCAAGAAGCUCUUGGUCUUGCUACUUUAUUCUCUUGGGGUGAAAGCAUUGACAUUGCACUGUCAUUGGUGUCACCAGCAAUUUUUCACCUGAAUGAAAUCUACAGCUUUGAUCUAGUGGGAAUCAACUUGAUUGGGUUGGCAGAAAAUGGUUGCCGUGCUUUAAGGUUAUAUAUCAUGCACCUACCUGGAAAUCAAAUGAUGAAACUAUAAUCAGCUGUAAAUUAUGUUGACUAAAAUUUAUGUACUACAAUUACAAGGGUGCUGGGAGACUGUUGGUGAUGUCAGGAUCCAAUUAGGAGAGACAAAGAUCUUCAUAGCUGAUGAGUGAAUCCCAAAAUGAUGAGAGCUAGAGUGCUUUCUGAACCUACAUAAAAUUUGAAUCGCUCAAAUUAAAAUUGUUUCUUCCAUCAGAGUUGUUGCUUCAUGUAAGGAUCCAAAUCUUUUGGUUUAGGGUAAGUGUUUUCAUUAGGAACGGGACUAAUGCUUAAUGUUAUCUUGCAACAUCGUUAUGGACUAUUAAUGCUUUUGAACAUUUUGCUCAUCGAUAGUGCAUGUACAUCCAUAAUUUUUGCAAAAAUAUAGGAGGUUAGAACCAGCCCUAGAAGACGCUUGAUAAAUGAAAUGAAGCCAUACAUGAUUUUCAGUCUGUAAGAGGGAUUAUCCCUUACUAACGAAGGAGUAUGUCUGGCUUCAUUUCUGGUGUAUCACUAUCAAGCCUCUUCAAUAGCUGCUCUUCUUCUCUGCUUGUUCCCUUUUGCCUUGUUUUGCCGCUUAUUAGUCUCUGGUUUGAACAUUUUUUAAAACAAUUAUGUAUUGGUAAAUUUCACUAAAUCCUUCUAUUUUUUUGCUCUUUUUGUAAGCCAUUUUUAA